rnacentral:lncRNA from 1 species
UUCUCGUUUGUUGACACUGGAUCUUUUUCGAACCCCAGAGGUUCGUCGUCGUAAAUGGCGUCAAGCUUUUGGUGUUGCCAUCCGCCCAUUUGGUUGGUGACAUGAUCUUCCGCAACGUCUUCUUGGGGACAUUGUUUGUUGGAGUUCUCUUGGUUGGCUUCGACAGCCAUAUUUUUUACUUCAGCCUCAAGGGCCUCUUUUAGUUUGUUUUCGGCUAUGUAAGCCGUAAUCUUUUC